rnacentral:tRNA from 1 species
AUUAAGAUAGCAAAUUAUAUGCACUAAGUUUAAGCCUUAGAGUAUGAGGUUUAACCUCUCUUAAUA